rnacentral:rRNA from 1 species
GACGAACGCUGGCGGCGUGCUUAACACAUGCAAGUCGAACGAUGAAACCUAGCUUGCUAGGUCGAUUAGUGGCGAACGGGUGAGUAACACGUGACUAACCUGCCCCUUUCUCUGGGAUAACGCUCCGAAAGGAGUGCUAAUACCGGAUACUCACAUCGAGGCACAUGCCUUGAUGUGGAAAGUUUUUCGGAAAGGGAUGGAGUCGCGGCCUAUCAGCUUGUUGGUGAGGUAACGGCUCACCAAGGCGACGACGGGUAGCCGGCCUGAGAGGGCGACCGGCCACACUGGGACUGAGACACGGCCCAGACUCCUACGGGAGGCAGCAGUGGGGAAUAUUGCACAAUGGGCGCAAGCCUGAUGCAGCGACGCCGCGUGAGGGAUGAAGGUCUUCGGAUUGUAAACCUCUUUCAGUAGGGACGAAGCGAAAGUGACGGUACCUAAAGAAGAAGCACCGGCUAACUACGUGCCAGCCGCCGCAGUAA